rnacentral:rRNA from 1 species
CGGCGGACGGGUGAGUAACGCGUGGGUGACCUGCCCCAUACCGGGGGAUAACAGCUGGAAACGGCUGCUAAUACCGCAUAAGCGCACAGAGCCGCAUGGCUCGGUGUGAAAAACUCCGGUGGUAUGGGAUGGGCCCGCGUCUGAUUAGGCAGUUGGCGGGGUAACGGCCCACCAAACCGACGAUCAGUAGCCGGCCUGAGAGGGCGACCGGCCACAUUGGGACUGAGACACGGCCCAA